ACUUCUAGAGACGUCGAGUUUAUGUGUUUUUCUCCUGAGAAAAUGUAACGCGCAAUUAAAUAUACGUUGAUGAAAUUGCAAUUCAGAAAGAGUUAAAGUAAUUUCAAAGUGUAUUUGCAGUAGUGGUUCUUCAAAGUGUGAAAAAAAUCUAUUCUGUAUGACCUGUUACGAAUCUUAACAAGCUAAAAGUGAAAACUAACCUCGAAAUUCGUAAAAAAAACUUUCGGUUUCCUCGUUUCGUUUUGGUUAAACUGUGAUAAAUUAAAACCCUCAAAAUGUCUCUUAAACGAAGAUUCGAAGAAAUAUCGCGUGAUGAACAGAGUGAAGAAGCUGCAGGUGUAUUUAAAAAUUCACUAGAUUCAGAUGAAGAUGACGACGAAGCGGAGGAAGAAUCGCGUAAUGUUAUGAACGAUGAUGAUUUCGAGGGAAUGGAAGAAGGACCGUCUACUGACACAAACAUUGGAUUCACUGCAUUUAACAUGGACGAGGAACUUGAAGAGGGAUAUAUCACAAAGGAGGGAGAUUACGUUCUGCAUAAAAAGGAGAACCAAAUAAGAGAUAACUGGCUGGAUAAUAUUGACUGGGUUAAGGUUAAGCCCGUGUCUGCAGAAGAUAAAAAAUACACAAAGGGAGAAAGAACCGGAAUAGCAGAUAGCGACAGUGACAGCGACGAAGAUCCUGACAAGUCUUUUGACCCUAUCUCAUUAUAUAAACAGAUAAUAGAGUAUCUUCAACCUGGAGAAACAGUAAAAAGAGCUCUAUGUAGGCUUGGCAAAGGAAAAAAACAGCUGACUACAGCAGAGAGGUGGAAGAGGAAAAAAAAUCCAGAAUUGGCAAAGGAGGAUGACGAAAAGUCGGCACAAAUCAUCAAACUUACAGAAUUGGCUAACGAAAUACUCACUCGAACCGGAAAUAUGGACAUCUAUGAGGAAACCUAUGAGCAAAUUAAGGAAAAGAUCCAGCCAUCCAAGAAAGAAGAGGAAGUCCUCGAUAUGUACGCCGAUGAUUUUGACGUGAAGGAGAAAGAAAAACUGAAUGUAAACACUUCUGAAGAAAAAAAUACAACUGAAAACAAAUCCGAGAGCAAUGAUGAAGAAAGCGUGACCUGGGAGCUGAAAUGGUCGCAAAAUGAAGAUGCUGAAGUGAGCGGGCCUCACAAAACAGAAAGAAUGCUUUCUUGGUCGAAGGAAGGUUAUUUUAAAAAGGGCGCUUGGGUCCGUAGAACAGGCCAGGAAGGGGAUUUCUACAGCGCCGCAAGAAUUGAUUUUGACUUGUACCUUUAAAUUACUUUUCCAACAUUUAUCCUAAACUCAAAAGACAUGGCAGAUGUUUCAGAAUGUUGAAAAGAAGAUUCCGAUAAAAUUCGACAAUUUGAUUGAAAAUUUUGUUUAUGUUGGAAAUUCAACUGCUUUGUCGUUCGUAAGAAAUUGGAUAAGGGCUUGAGUAAGGAACAUUUCUUUUGAAGAUAUCAACAAACUUGAGUGCGAAGAUCAGAACAGCAACAACAAUUGACACCAGGAUGAUUUUUGCUUUUAUCAAGACCAGAGCAAUCCAGAAUUUGAGGCCUCCCAGAACUGUGGACGGAUGAGAGAAUAGAAGUCAGAAGUCCGUUAUUUCAUCUCGUGCAUAUGUAUAAUUGUAUAUGUAUAUUAUCCUCUCACUAUAUCACUACAACUCGAAUCUUUCGUCGUCGCCUAGAUUCGCGGCGGUAUAAUAUAGAAAAGGGAGGUAUGCAAAUGUAAUUAUGUAAAUCGUGGUAUGUAAAGCAGGUGCCAGCUCGUUGCCGGGGUAAAACAUUUGUGUAAGUCGCGUUGUAACGAUAAAAGUGAAUAUGUAAUUACUGAGAUAAA